GAAUGUGGUUUGGGAAGGACAUACCAGUCUCAGAUGGGCCUCCUCAGUCAUCCGUAGACUCACUGCUGGGUUCCCUAUUUACUGGAAGACGGUCUUUGUAAUGAGGGACUGUCACCGCUGCUGUCAACCUGAUAAAUAUCUUUGAAGCGCAUUGUUGUCAGUAGCAGAGAAAGCAUUCAUGAAAUACGUCUGGAAAUAAGAGACUGGAUCUAUGCAGGGCUGGGCUUUGGAACGGAGACUCAUCCUACAAUACUGCUGCCAGUCCUGUCAGUUUUGUGGAAGGUUUUACCUCUUCUUGAGAACAGGUGGUAAGAAAACCUCAUUGGUUUCAUAGUUCUUUGGCUCCAUUUCCUGUUUGCAGGUGCUAACUUAAUUAGAAUCAUGGGGCAGAACUGAGCAAGAUAUUUUCCGUGGGAAAAGCUCCAAGAUAAUACUGGAUUAUUAUUUAUCGAUCUCCCUUUCAACACCUACAUUCUGCCAGGAUAGGGGAGGAAUGUGAUGCGGGAGACAAGAAUUUACACAUGAACGGAGGCCCGCCAAAGCAGCAAACCUUUUCUAGACAUUGGAAAGAGCUGAUGAAAAAUUUUCUGUCAAAGCUGUUUUUCAGUAGAAAAUUGGUGUGUGUGUCUGAUAAAUUGAUAUUUUUUUGUGAAAGGUGUUUGCUUUUUAUCUUUCUUAUGAAGUC